CAGUAGCCACGGUAAUACGAAGGGUGCAAGCGUUACUCGGAAUUACUGGGCGUAAAGCGUGCGUAGGUGGUUGUUUAAGUCUGCUGUGAAAGCCCUGGGCUCAACCUGGGAAUUGCAGUGGAUACUGGGCAACUAGAGUAAGGUAGAGGAUAGUGGAAUUUCCGGUGUAGCAGUGAAAUGCGUAGAGAUCGGAAGGAACAUCUGUGGCGAAGGCGACUAUCUGGGCCAUUACUGACACUGAGGCACGAAAGCGUGGGGAGCAAACAGUAUUAGAUACCCGUGUAGUCCCUGUCUCUUAUAC
rnacentral:rRNA from 1 species